UCCCUCUUAGCUCAGUUGGUAGAGCGCGUCACUAGUACGAUUCCAUUGUCGUGUAAUGACGAGGUCAGUCGUUCAAAUCGGCUAGCGGGAA